CCUUAGUAACGGCGAGUGAAGCGGCAAAAGCUCAAAUUUGAAAUCUGGCACCUUCGGUGUCCGAGUUGUAAUUUGAAGAAGGUAACUUUGGAGUCAGCUCUUGUCUAUGUUCCUUGGAACAGGACGUCACAGAGGGUGAGAAUCCCGUGCGAUGAGAUGUCUGAUUCUAUGUAAAGUGCUUUCGAAGAGUCGAGUUGUUUGGGAAUGCAGCUCUAAGUGGGUGGUAAAUUCCAUCUAAAGCUAAAUAUUGGCGAGAGACCGAUAGCGAACAAGUACAGUGAUGGAAAGAUGAAAAGAACUUUGAAAAGAGAGUGAAAAAGUACGUGAAAUUGUUGAAAGGGAAGGGUUUGAGAUCAGACUUGGUAUUUUGUAUGUCUUGCUUUCGGGUGGGGCCUCUACAGUUUACUGGGCCAGCAUCGGUUUGGACGGUAGGAUAAUGACAUUGGAAUGUGGCACCACUUCGGUGGUGUGUUAUAGACUUUGUUGAUACUGCCUGUCUAGACCGAGGACUGCGUCUUUGACUAGGAUGCUGGCAUAAUGAUCUUAAACCG
rnacentral:rRNA from 1 species